rnacentral:rRNA from 1 species
ACGGCUCAGUAACACGUGGACAACNUACCCUGUGGAGGGGGAUAACCCCGGAAAACUGGGGAUAAUACCCCAUAGGUUAGGGUGGCUGGAAUGCCCCCUAGCUCAAAGGUCCGCCGCCACAGGAUGGGUCUGCGGCCGAUUAGGUUGUUGUUGGGGUAACGGCCCAACAAGCCUUUGAUCGGUACGGGUUGUGGGAGCAAGAGCCCGGAGAUGGAUUCUGAGACACGAAUCCAGGCCCUACGGGGCGCAGCAGGCGCGAAAACUUUACAAUGCGAGAAAUCGUGAUAAGGGAACCCCGAGUGCCCGUAAAUUCGGGCUGUCCGCCAGUGCAAAAAACUGGUGAAGAAAGAGCCGGGCAAGACCGGUGCCAGCCGCCGCGGUAAUACCGGCGGCUCGAGUGGUGGCCACUAUUACUGGGCUUAAAGCGUCCGUAGCUUGGUUGUUAAGUCUCCUGGGAAAUCCAUCGGCUCAACCGAUGGGCGUUCAGGAGAUACUGGCAACCUAGGGACCGGGAGAGGUGAGAGGUACUCCAGGGGUAGGAGUGAAAUCCUGUAAUCCUUGGGGGACCACCUGUGGCGAAGGCGUCUCACUAGAACGGCUCCGACAGUGAGGGACGAAAGCUGGGGGAGCAAACCGGAUUAGAUACCCGGGUAGUCCCAGCUGUAAACGAUGCGCGUUAGGUGUAUCGGUGACCACGAGUCACCGAGGUGCCGAAGGGAAACCGUGAAACGUGCCGCCUGGGAAGUACGGUCGCAAGGCUGAAACUUAAAGGAAUUGGCGGGGGAGCAC